rnacentral:rRNA from 1 species
UGCCACAGCCAUAUCACCCUGCAGCCUAAGAGUGGUUACUCAUUGAAGAUAAGCAGGGAUAAGCCUGAUCAGUACCUGGAUAUGGGGGACCACAUGGAAAAACUAGGUUGCUGUUGGAA